GAUGUCUUUCUAAAGUACGUCUGUCCAAAGAAUAGAGAUGGAUAUAAAUGUAAAUCAUAUAAUGCCAACCAGAAAUAAUUAUGAUGUCAAACUGGGAAACUGGGAAGUUUGUGUGCACAAGAACCUCCCUCAUCAGGAAAAGACAGAAGCAGGGACGACCGAAAACGUUAGAAUAAAUUCAACAAAAAUGUCUGAAAACCUAGAAAGUGAAGAAAAUGGUAAAUUCCAUGAAACCGAAAUAGCAGACACACAACGCAAUGAAAAUAGGAAAACAACGAGGAAGUGUUUUUUAAAGAUAACUGAUGAGGUCGAUCUAAACGUUAGCCACACUUUUUCCGGACUUUGCCACAGAUGCUGCUACUGGUUUGGUUUAGCUUUCCUGGCUUUCAUUGGUGGUAGUGUUGCUGUUGGUAUAUUGUGCGGUUUGCAGAUAUCUAUGAUAAUUAUAGGUACUAUCCACAGAAACAACUGUCCUGCCCAACCCUGCAUUCCCAUUUACAUGACUACUUCUGGGUGUUUAGGUAUUGUAGGCGUCUUGAUAGGUGUCACCCGUCAAGUCAUGGAGAAAAGAGGCAGAAAGAGAAUAGUAAUAUUUCUCCACAAAUUCGUUCUUGUGUCGUCAAUCUGCAUCAUUCUACCUUGGUAUGUUGUGGUUAUAUCAAUGAGAAGUCAGUACUUCCAUCCCUGCUUACAACGUACUGUCUAAUUAUCAUUCCUGCGUUUUAACAACAGUCUUAACUUCUUGUGUGAUGAAGACUGCUGGGAAACAUUGACAGAUCAUCAAUACAGCAUUGUGCAGUGCAGUGUGCUAUGUGAAAAGGACUCAACUGUAAGGAUCUAAAUUCAGUGAUAGGAUGAUAAACAAGCUUAGAUUUUCUUUAUAUUCCUUUUACUGUGUAUCUUGAUAGAAAAUGUAAUUGUAAUAGAGACU
rnacentral:misc_RNA from 1 species